CAGGCUGGGAGCUGUAGACCGGAGCUGUUCCUAUUCGGCCAUCUUGGCUCCUCCCCCACCCCCGUAUUAUCUUAAAAAUUACAUUGGAAAUGGAUGGGGAGAAGGCCUGAUGAAAAUUACUGAGGAAGCCUCUUAGCCUAUGUGCUCUGAGAGUAGUGACACCUAGCAGUCGUUCAAAAGAUGAUCAAGAGGAGCAUGAAAAAAUCCCCUGAAUCCAUUGGCUUUCUUCCCUAUACUGACAACAGUUUACUUGUGUAAGAGAUGCAUGCCUCGACUCCGGACCCCUUCUUUCAUCUGCAAAAUCAGCAGCACCCUCACAUCAUCUCCUGUAACAAACUCUCUCUGUCUCCUCCAUAUAAGGUCACUGAUGGUUACAUUUAGGGUCCAUGAUAUAAGUCAAGUUGGUGUGUAUCUGCAAAGGCGAUGGAAAGGAGUUCUUACAUAUGCAUAUUCUGAAGAAGGAUGUUACCCUUACUGAAAAACUUAUUCCAAGAUAUGUUUAAUCAAUCAUGAGAAAAAUAAAGAGACAUCCUUAUGAAUGGAGAAUAAAGUCCUCAGGGUUUUUUUCUAAUUCCCCAUGUGAAUGAAGAGCUGUGUUAUUCUAAAUAUAGUGUUUGUCAUAAGGCAAUUGUGUUGGUUUGAGUCCUUAGUCGCUGUGACACUGAUAGAAUUCCUAUCUCCAAUUGGAAGGUAAGUUGACCUUGCCUCACUUUUGGGCAUUUACAAAGUAAAAGUGUCUUCAUAUUCCAG
rnacentral:lncRNA from 1 species